AAGGUUUUUCACCUAGGGCGCCAAUUUACCUUGCACCGGCCCUGGUGAAAGGAUACCCGGGAAAAAAAAAUCUUGGCGCUACACAUCGGUGACAGCAAAAACUUUACUGUCAUUUACAAAAAAAAAAAGUUUUGUUGAGACUAGUACUUUUUAAACACGUUGAAUUUUUUUUUUUUUUGUUGGCCGCAAACCCGUGUGUUGUUACUUCUUUGCGCCAGAAGAUGGCGGCGCGGGCGCCGGAAAGGAGCCAACCGGCGCGGCCGGAAAGCCGGCCGCGAUAGCGACUCGCGAUUGGCCGGCGAGCUGCGACUGCGGCGCGGCGACCGCGGGUGUAAUCGGCAACACUGUUUAACGACGUAGCUCCGGAGGAACUGCGCGCGCCCGCAGAUAGCCGGGCAUCGGGGGCAGGGGGGGCGUGGUAGCUCCCCGCUGAACGGCCGUGUCAACACAACCCUGCGCGCCUCUUGCCCGGGUCCCCCGCAGAGCUCCAGGAAGAACAACUACUCAACAUAUCCGAGCGCGGUCUGCUCACGACAAGCAUACAAGAGUUCGCUGAGGCCCGUUAAGUACUUUCGAUUUCGGAUUAAGUGUUUAAACUGUAGUUUCAGAAGCGUUAAAAAUAUGGCUAAAACGCAUGUUUUCAGAGGAAAUUUCAGGCGUGAAACAACCGGUACAGAUUCUUAAAAGCAGUUAAGGGACUUGAAUUACACCUUUAUUUUAAUUUCUCCGCCAUAUCAUGUUACGGUCAACGCUCAAGUUUCACAGUUGUCCUGAUUUAUUAUCUGAAUAGGAUUAGAAAUCAAUGUAAUAUCACACAUACCUUUAAUUAUAGAACAAAAAAAUAAGAUCAAAAGAAUCAGCAUUAACUUAUUUUAUAAAAAAAAAAUAUAUUUCUAUUGCCACUAACACACUGAAAUAUGGGCCUACAAUAGUAGCCGUAGUUCUUUCUGACUUUAAAACUUAUCUAUGGUUUGUUUUACUAUAGUAAUCAUGCUUUUGAUAGUGGAAUUUGACUUGAACACUAUUCUUAGUCGGUGUUUGUUUCCCAGACGUCUAUUUUUUUUCCCCGAGAGACCAUGAACAUAGGGAUUAAUUAAUGUGCCACUUGAUUUAUCUGUAGUUUUUUAAAUGAUUUGCAAUUUGUUUGACUUCAAGUGUUUUUUUUAUGAUGUCGGGUGGGUAGCCAUUUGCUAGAAGUUCAUACUUUAAAUGUCUGACAUCAGCUGAGGCAGUCUUGUUUUCUGUGAAUUUUUUUUAUCUUAAUUUUUUUUUUCCCCCGAAAUUUUUCCGUGACAAUCUGUGCAAAACUACAAUGGCGUAUGUCCAAAAAACUGCAUCAAAUCAGGACGUACCAUAUAUUCUUCGGUACACAUAUAACGCACUAUAAUUUCCGUAAAUUUCGUACCAUAAUUUCGCAAUCAUCGGGUAGAAAAUAAAGUAAUUUAAAAAAAACAAAAGUGUUGUCAAUUUUGUAACCCGACCAGUGUCCUUGUUAGCGACGCUUGUAAUCCCGAACGUUAUCUUACGAAACAGGGAUAAACAAAAAGCCGUUUGGCGCGCGCAACCAGCCCACUUGGAGGCAGACACGCGUUCUCUCGUCGUCGUGAAUAAUUCAGGACCGCGCGCCUGCCUACACGGCUGUUGUGCGCUUCUUGCCGGGAACUCGCACCUCCUUGUGUGUGUGGGGAGGGGUAUGCUGCUGGCUGUGCGCCUGCAGCAAAGUUUCCCCAACUGUGCAAGAAUGUACGACACUUUGUGCACGAGCUGACGUAUCACGCCGCCGACCUGCAAGGUGUUUUUUUUUUUCCUUCCCCCGAGCUGAUGCGUUCGAAGCUCCGCGGGAGAAAACUUGGGCAGGCGGGCUGGCGGCGAAACAAACGAAACUUCUGGUGGUUACGUUCCGCAACUUUCAUACUCGAGCCCUUGGAAAGGUCGCGCGUUGAUGCAGCGAAGGAACGCGAGCGAUAACCUCCCUUCGACGACGAUGCUGAAGACGACCUCGGCAACUCUUCGGGCUCGCUGAUCGAUAACGGUGGAGGGGCCCGGGGUGAAGUGGGCUUCUGGGCUGAAGUGUUUUCGAGCUGGCUCUCGGAAACAAGGCACAUGCCGAAGGAGCUAGUCGCCGGAUAUAAAUUGUGCGCGUGCAAUAUUUUCCCUACUUGUUUGUUGAGCGAUACUCACACAAACAGUGUUUUGUACACAAGAAAGUGGCGUAUACGCAGAGACCGGAAAAAUUCGCGGAUUCAUUUCGCGAUAGUCUUAGAAUACAAAAAUCGUUUGCCUUUUUACCGCAUCAGUGAUUGGGUCACAGUUUAUCUGAAUGACACUCGCCCAAUGGAAAAACCUUCAACAAAAGAAGUAUCGAAUCAUUAACGUCCCAGUUAACAGGUGUCACGAGUCAGUAGCCAAUGAGCAGAUGUAAUUUUCCCGCGUGCGUAGAGGAUCAUGGAGCAUAUCCUACAGGUCAUUGAAAUCGCGAUUUUUUCCGGUCUCUACGUAUACGUUAUUAUUAUCUCUGGUAAACAACUGAGACAGGUCGGGGCGAACCCUCGCGUAGAUCACAGCAACACCGUUAGAAGUCACAGUAAACUAACGAAGAUUUCACCCGAAAACUUCGAUUUCUCUUGGAAACAAUGUGGCAUUCCAUCUUCCGAGUUCUGUUUUUUUCUCUCUCGGGAGAAACAGUAUUAAACACAUACACACACGUAGAAGUAACAGUGUUUCUGCAGGAGUCUAAACAUGUUGUCGAUUGCUUUGAUUUUACACCAAUAUUAUUCCCGUGGAUUCAUGUUUAAAGUAAGUUAACUUGGUUUCCGUGAAUUUAAGAAGACAACGAUAUAGUUACAAUAAUUCGUAAUUUUAAGGUGAAAAUGGUUAACAGUGAAAUAUAAAUAAAUAAAAUGUUGUAAAUAAGGCAAACGUAAUGUAGCCUAACAAACAUUCAAAGUGUCCUGUAAUAAGUUAUAUCCGUAGGCAUAUCGUUUUGAAUGAUCACCAAUCAAUCAUCAAUGAUCCAUCAUCAAUAACAUUCCUCACCAACCAUCAGUCACCGUGUAUGAUGCUUUUACGACAAGAAAAAUGAAGGCGCCAACAAGGAGUGUAGAAGUAAACAGAGAUUUCACUCCCAGGUUAAAUAUAUUUAUUUCCACCUUUGAAACGGUCACUAAUGAUUCUAUCAGUACCAACCACACAGCAUAAAACCAAACAAAUUUAGUUUUGUCCCGAACGACAUUAGGAUCUAAUUAGUUUACAGAAUUCUUCGUGUUCAGAAUCUAGGGCCGUUUUAAUACGUUUAUACGUUUUAAUAAAAUAUUGUCUAAUUUGUAUUUCCGUGUCGUGAUAUUCAUGACAUUAAAAUUAAGGAUCUCCAUAAGAAUUUGUUAGAGACGAAAGGUGGUGUUUGCUGAUGCUCUAAAAUAAUGUUAGGUUAACCUAGUUGUUUCACAAUACUUAACCAUUUUCGGGUUCUUGAACCGCUGCAUUAAUUAACACAAAUGCCCACCUAAUGCAAUACACACAAAACUGGCUCUACUGAAAGUGAUAGCUAUAAAUACCGCAAAUACGCAAAAAGGAAUGUACCUACUAUUACCUGACUUGCGCCUUCAAGAAAGAUCUGAUACGGCACACAAAAAUAAAUUAACAUAAAUGUUGGUAUUUGAACACAAAAGUUUACCGAGGUCUCCCGACUCCUUUGCAUUUAUGCACUACACAUUAUUAAUAUAGCAUGGCAUUGUGUCAGGUGAACGUGGAGGCCAGCGGAACAGAGCUCUGUCGUCUCGACCAUUACGACCAAUCAAACGGUCAGGGACUUGGACGGUCAACCACUCUCGAACAAAGAGAUUCCAAAAUUGGGGGAGGGGCACAAUACUGUUGCCAAAUGAAGUUCACAUGUUCACCCUCUUCUAAUUACGCCCAGGUGUCGCCAUUUUGCGUGGGUGGUGCUGCAAGCGAGAAAACAACAAAGCAGUAUUCGCGCGUGUUUGAGUUACUUUUUGACGUGACAACGUCUAAUAAAUCGAUGAACGCCGGCUGCACGCACGAAAAAAGAUGACUCAUAGUCCCGUUACGCUCAUUGUACGCUUGCGCCGCAUCUAUCUCUCUUCCACUCGAUUGGAACAACCAUCGAUUUGACUUUUUCGAGGCACAUUAAACUUGAAACACUCCCAUUCGUUUCCUACUUUUCCUAUCAUCGUCCUAUCCUUAACAGAAUAACACAGAUUGGAAGAAGUUAAAUAGCAAACACGUAUAAAAGUUAUAGUUAAAAUAAUCUGUUCGUUAAAGUAAUAAACAUAUAUGAAUUAAUGAGUGCAAAUAAAAGUAAAUUUAUCAAUUAAAUUGUAGAUUUCAUUUCAAUUCCUUCUUUGUAUCCAUACAAAAUAGUGAUAAUUCAAUAAAAAUGAUUCAAUUUUAUUCAUAAAAGUAUGCUAUCAUUUCAUCAAUGUUUUGUUAUGACGUUGUCACUUUAAACUAUCGUCCGUAAACCGACUUUAUAUAGACAACCAAUUUUUUUUAAAAUUGUGACCUUGAACCAACACUCUACAACGCUUACAGUUGACACUACUAAAAUUUAUUACCGGGGACGUUCUGCCGUGGACAUGCAGUAAUGAUAUUGGUGCGAACGAGUUUGUGUUCGACAAGCGUAAGCAACGUGCAAUUACAACCGGGAAGUAAUUGUUCCUGGCUGGAGGCAGACGCGAUUAACGAACGCAUCCGCCACGCUACCUCGGCCAAUUGGGCUGGAAUGUUCGUUUGAUCGCGAUCACUUCACACGUGACGCCCGAGUUUGACUCGUAGCCUGUCGUCCGUAGCGGCUCGAGCAGAUAACUCGACUGCCAGCCCCGCGCUGAUUGUCGCAGCUAAUUGAGCCGACGCUGAAGUGUCGACAAGGGAAGAGCCCCACCAACUCCCUGCUUGAUCAGGGUAGCCCCCUACGUAGAGACCGGACAAAUUCGCGGAUUCAUUUCGUGAUAGUCUAGAAUCCAAAAAAACGUUUGCCUCUUAACCGCAUCAGUGAUUGGCCCACAGUUUAUAUGAAUGAUACCCGGCCAAUGAAAAACAUUUAACAAAAGAAGUAUCGAACCACGAGCAUCCCAGUUAACAGGUGUCACGGGUCAGUAGCCAAUGAGCAGGUGUAAUUUUCUCGCGUGCAUAGAGGAUCAUGGAGUCUGUCCUAUAGGUCAUUGAAAUCGCGAAUUUUUCCGGUCUCUACCCAUACGCCUCGCAUGUUAAGGCCAGCUGCUCACCUUCCCCGAAACAACAUGGAGGGCUGGACAACUCACACAAUUAAAGUAAAAAAAAUUAAUUUAAUUACCCUCGAAAAAACUAAAUUAAUGCAAAACAGAUCAAGUCUCAGUCACCAAGUUCCGCAGCUUUUAAAUUAGAAACACUCAUCUACAAUCCCCUAGCCAAAAAAACUUAAUUUUUUUCGGUGAUUUCCGUCAAUAUGGCGGACCCGCGUCUGGCGCCAUUUUGCUCGUAUGUGGUUUGUUUUUUUCUUAAUGAUGAUAAAUAUUAGGUCUGCUCAAAGAUUUGGCCAAAACGCUCAUAUAUAUAUAUAUAUAUAUUGUCGCGGGUUGAAAUUUUGCAGGGUUGUUGAAAUCAAAUUUAGGGACUUUACUGACGGGACUCUGGGCUGGCUGCUCUGUUCACUCGUCAGCGCAAGUGGCGUGACCAUGUAAUUGGGGCACGGGGCCGGCGCGGCGCGCUGCGGGCUUGCAGAAUUUUGUUUGUUUGUUUGGCCGCGCGCUGGCGCAGCCACGGGCCGCAGUUACUGGGGCGCGCUGUCGUAACAAGCCGCGCGGUGUGGCCUGCACAUCGGGGUAGAGGGGGGGUAGUCUUCCCAGAUGUUCUAGUUAGUUGUUUAGUAAAUUUGACUUCAAUAACGAGCUUUUGUUAUGGUAGGCGCGGCAGGGCGCGCGAAUUUAAGCGCAAGUGAUUGGUGACUCGGGGCUCACUCAGGCGGAGGCUAUGCGUCUCACCUGUGGUCACGAGUUGUUAGUUCGUUCGUGAUGUAGGAAUUCAAGCUUUCGGGCGGAAGCUAUGGCCGACGCCAGAGGCCACGAGUCGUUUAAUUUAAGUUAGGUCAUAAUGUAGUCAUCUUCAAGCUUUCGGGCGGAGGCAAUGGCCCUUGUCACUAGUCGUUUAGUUAUAAUUUUUUUUAAAUGUAAUGUUCGUUCGGAUUUUAAGGGCAGGAGAGGCCCCUACGUUAGUUUUAAGUAAUCGAUCAAGAAAGGCUUUUCGGAAAAUGUGAGUAUGGACUUAUCUUUGUUUUAAUUUUAAGUAUUAAUUAUGAUUUGAGGUAUUCGGAAGGACUAGGGAAGUGUUUAGUGAAGUUCUCUCAUUCUCUCUCUUGUAAGGUCGUUCAAUCGUUAAGGAAGUAAAGAGAUUAUUGUUUUAAAUUGUAAUCCCGCUAUUUAAAUGUUCUUUAAAAUGAUGUUGAGUAUUUGACUUUAAGAAUAAAAUAAUUUUAAUUUAGUAUUAUGUUAUUUUGCAAAAUCUCCUUAGUUCAGCUCUCACCAGACAUCCUGUACGGGAUGACGAACCUAUGAUCCUAGGUACAGUAAAGUAUUUUAUGAAGUUAAGACUAGUUGAUGCCAAGCGAGUUGUUUCUAUGUAAAGAGCUACGAUUCUCGCCCCCCCCUCUGAAGGUGGAUCGUGACAGAAAUGGCGGUGGCACCGGCUAGGUGCACGUGACAGAAAUGGUAGAGUUCGCCGGAUAGGUUCUAUUUCUGGAGAGAGAGAGAGAGGUAGAUUUUUAUGUUUAUUAUUAAGUUAGUUUCAGCUUCUGAUAGCAGGUUAUUAAGAGUUUACUUGAGGAGAGGAUUACGGAAUUUUAGUCUAUAGUGGAGGAAGUCUUUGAGAUUUUUUUUUUGACGUAACAGAUGUUUAUUUGAGGAUACUUGUAAGGAUAAAGUUUAUAGUGAUAAGUUGUUUUAAGUCGUUGAAUUUAUUGUAGAUUUAUAUCGGGGAUUAUUACGUGAGGAGAAUACGUUAUAAGUUAAAUGCUUAUUAGAGAUAAUGCAAGUGGUUUAAUUUAAUUGAAGUUCAUUUUAAGAUUGUAGGUUAAGAGAAUUAUAAUUUAAAAUAAAGUUUUUUGUCGUAAAUAGGAAUUAUUUUCAAGUGAAGUUUGUUUUGUUUUCGUGCGCGUAGGAGACGAGACGUACGAAUUAAAUCAGUCGAGGGAAGGAUAAACGUUAGAAAGGAAUUAAAGAGAAAACGAGAGUUUAUGUAAAAGAGAGUUAUAGAAUUUAUAGUGAUGUUUUGUUUUAAUUAGAAAAAUGUUGAGAGUUGUUUCAGAACGACACGUCAGUGGACGUGGCAGAAUGAACACGUGACGGGGAGGUGCUGAGACCUAGCGGAGAACGGAGGAACCGCAAGCGAGGGUUGGCGCACCUGAUGGAAUUCGGUGACGUCACGGGCUCAUACGGAGACGUGGACGGCCGUGACCUUGUUUUGAUCAGCUGUACGGUAACUUAGCGAUAAGAAAAUAGACUAUUGGUUAAAUAAAUUUAAAUUUAAGUGUGUUUUAGGAGAAGAGGAACUUUCAGUAUAUUCCUUAAGAUGAGCUGAGCAGCAGUCCAGUUUACAAGAUGACAAGAGUUCGAGAGACAAGAUACAAGAUCACUGAAACAAGAGCCAAGACUGAAGAUUCAAGAGAAGAGAAAGCUGGCAGCCAUGGACUUACAAGUGGAGAUUAAUAAGGUCAUGUAAAGUUUUAUUUUUUUUUAUGGAAGACAGUAACUGGAGUUUUUUUUUUGUUAUAAACAUUAUUUACAGAACUUUUUAGGUUAUAGUAAUGUAAUGGAACUAGUGAGUUGUGGUAGCUGUCAAAAAGAACUAAUACCUUAAGUUUAAUUUUUAAAGUUAAUUUUCUUAAUUUACAGAGGGAUUAGUAGUUUUUUUUAAACCUUAUUUAGGUUGGAAUUUAAAGAUAAUAGUUUAUUAUAAAUGUGUACGAACAGUUCAAGUUCACAGUACUGAUAGGUAGGUCAGAUGAUCUUAUUGAUUUUGAUGAUUUGUUGUUUUGAGUUGAUUUUUAAGUGUUGUGAAUUAGACAAUGAAAUAGUUCUGAAAACUUAAAUUAUUUCAAGCUAAGAAAUAGUAAAGUUAAUUGUAACUCAAAGGACACCAGAAUUUAAUUUUUUUUUGAAUUAGUAAUGUUUGAAAAUUUUAUACUUUACAAGAAAGGUUAUAAACAAACAGAUCGGAUGGAACAAGGAUGCAGUAAAUCACAAUUUCAUUUAGAAUUAUUGAUUUGCUUUUGAGGUUAUGAAGGAAAAGUAGCUAUAAUUUAAAAAUUUGAAUAAAAAUGGUUUUUUUUUAUUUGUUUGAAAUAGAAAGUUUAAAAGUUAAUUAGUCAUGAUCUAGGUGGGUGAUGGGGUGGGAAUUGGCCACUCUUUUUCCCUAUAACCUCCCUAACAUGGCCUUCUAUUACAUCUAACAGAAGAAAAAAAAAGAAGAAAAAGAAGACUUAGUAUUAGUUAGAAUGUUUUUUCAUGAAGAUACCUGAUGAACUUUUUUUUUUAUUGUUGGGAAGAAUAGUAGCAAGAUUAAUCAGAUGUUUUACUCAGAAGAAGAAGAAGAAGAAGAUAAAGCAGUUUUAUGACUCGACAAGCCAGAGAUUGGUGUUUCCCCUCUGCGCUUCUAUUGACUACGUUGUUUACUCUCAUGGGAUAGCUGGUUCGGCACCAUGGAGAGAGAUUGGUGGGCAUUGUGGUUGCCCCCAGAAGAAAAGAAGAGUAGAAGAGGUUAUGGGUGGGUCAUGUGAACUGACCUUCAACCCAGUUACUUCGUGGGGACUAUUUGCUGUAUAGAGAAGAUCAAGACUCAAGAGUUAGGGAAAAUCAUUGGAGGUCAUGUUUCCCUUCCUUAAGUUUUUCCUAUCAAAUUAUUUGCCUGAUUAGAUUAUGCUAAGGGUGGGAUACUUUAUGUUAGCAGUUGAAUUAAUUAAUUUUAUUUUUUUGUGUGUUUGCAUCCUUGCCCAUCGAUUGCAGUUUAGUAGUUAGUUUUGUAUUUGUCAGGCGUGAUGGUAAUGCCUGUUGAUGAUGUUUCAGAAUUGUAAUCUGUUCGUGAUGAGGAUGGCACAACUCCGAAGCAGAUGUGGGGAGAAGUUGUGAGCUGCCCUGGAAGCCAGUCCAGUAGCUGUUGGAGUUGAGUGGUGUUUGCUGAUGGCCAGCCCAGGGAGCUACUCUUCUCGACAACACUGACUUCGAGGAGUUGCACCAACCUUCACGAGAUAAGAGUUUAAUUAAUUGAAACACUGUAAGGACACUUAAUUUUUUUUUGAAGAACGAAAGAAGUAUGGUAAUAAACGGAAACUGAAAAAAAAAAAAAA